UCCUCAGCACAAUGAAGAUGGUGUCCAGAAAUUCAAUCAGCUUGGAGAAGUAGUACCACCACAGCACUUUCGCUACCUAUCAGUCUUCAUGCAGACCCUGACACUGAAGACGAUAACCUGCAGACCAGACUGAUGAUAUCAACUACCAAACACACGAAACACAACAUUAGACUUGUCGAGGUCGUGUCUUCACUGUGUCUGCACUGAGAGUUAAAGACACAGAAGCUGUUUGUGUGAGAGUCACACACUGUCUGAGGAGGAGGCAGUGUUCUCAACUUCUUCUGAAGAGAGGGACAGACGGUUUAAGGUGCGUAAAAUGAAUUCCAUCAAGAUAUCUUUAUUUUUACUAAGACUAAAAUAAUGUUUAUUUUUGUAGAUGCUGAAAUCCAGAGACAAGAAAACUUUAUUCUUAUUAGACUGAUGUAAGUUAUUUUUUUUAGAAAAUUAAUGUUUCAGUUGUGUCCUUGCCUGUUUAAUUCACAUUUUGAUGCAACAACAGUGUGAUUAUAUGUUCAUAUUUUAUUGAAACCAUUGAUGUCCCUCUUUGCAGAACUCAAACUAACUUUGGAGUUAAGGGAACAGAAGUCUGCUUGUGUGAGGAGGAGGUUUUGUCAGCUUCUUUGGAAGAGAGGGAAAGAUCGUUUAAGCCAAGUAAACUUCAUAAUUUCAUGUUAUCAGUUGUGGUUGUUGUUGUUUUUUUUACUAAGAGUAAAUUAAUGUUUGUUUGUUUUGUUUUUGUAGAUGUUAAAAGCCAGAGACAUGGGAGAAUCAUUCUUUUGAGAUUGAAUGCAAGUUAUUUUUAGAAAAUAAAUGUUUCGGUUGUCUCCUGCCGGUUUACUUCACAUUGUGAUGAAACAACAGUAUUAUUACGUGCUCAUUUAAUUAAAACCAUUGAUGUCUGUGUUUUUCAUUGCAGAACUCAAACCAACUUUAGAGUUGUCUGAUUUGGAGAGUCAUCAUUCUUGGUCUUCCUUCUUAAAGGCCACUAAUGAAGAGCAGGCGGUGACUGGGAUGAAUGCUGGUCUGAGAAGAGAACUUCCUUUCCUCUAAACUGAUACAGCAGUGGUUUUAAAGGAGAACGCUGCCCUGAAUGAUGUAGAUGAUAUCACAUGUGCUGAUGGGGCUUCUUCAUGACUACAUCAAUUAUGCUAAAGAGAUCAUGAAAGUUUACAUUGAUGCAUGAUCUGUAUUCAUGGACUAUGAAACAAACUGUAAGUGCAUCACUUGUAAAAACAAUGUUAAAUGCGUUUUCUGUGUUGUUUAGUAGAAGAAUUUACACUCUGUCAUUCAUACACAUGCUCACUCAUGUUAAUGUUGAGGUUUAUUUGUGUACUGUCAUGCUAGAAUAGUUGGUAAAGAACCUAACUAAUUUAUUGUAUAAUAGUGAUUUUGUAUAUUUUUAUACAAAAUAUAAAAUGUAACAGCCCAAUUUGAUCUCAAAGGGGGGGUGAAAUGCUAUUUCAUGCAUACUGAGUUUUUUAUACUGUUAAAAAGUUGG